rnacentral:rRNA from 1 species
GAUCAUGGCUCAGGAUGAACGCUGGCGGCGUGCUUAACACAUGCAAGUCGAGCGAAGCACUUUGCUUUGAUUUCUUCGGGAUGAAGAGUAUUGUGACUGAGCGGCGGACGGGUGAGUAACGCGUGGGUAACCUGCCUCAUACAGGGGGAUAACAGUUAGAAAUGACUGCUAAUACCGCAUAAGACCACAGCACCGCAUGGUGCAGGGGUAAAAACUCCGGU